rnacentral:misc_RNA from 1 species
GUUGAUUUUUGAUGACACAGCAGCAGGUUAUUUAGAGGCUGUUCGGCUGCAUAAGCACUUCAAAGAGCAAGGAAGAGACAGGGAUGCCUGGGAUAGCAAUCGAUUUCCAUUCUGUUCAGGGGGAAAGCGCCAACUCUAUGGAUACAUGGCUUUGAAAGAAGAUUUGCAUAUUUUCAACCUGCAUUCCCAAGGUCGCCUCUCUCUCUCUCUGCCCACCCCAUAACUCUGCAUGUGCGUGUGUGAAUAUGCCGGCUAGUCAAUUUUUAAGACUAACAGUUGGAAUGCACCCUCCAAAUCUGUCAAAUAUCCCAUGCUUAUUAUGAUUGAUGAUUUCAGGUAUCUAGAAUUUAAGUGUGACUUGGGAACCAUGUUGCUUCAUGAUAAAACUGAUAGUGCAAUAUAUUUCAGUUUCGUUCACUUCUCUGCUUUCUGAUCCCAUACUGACAUUUGAAUUCUGGCAAUAACGUUUUUGUCCUAUUUAACUAUACGUAUAAUUGAUUAGGGAGGUCCAAGCUGAAAUA